AACGACCUGCAACUUGGUUUUCGUACAUUUCCUUCUCUACUUCACAAUAGGUCGGAAGGUCCUUGGUGCUUUGUCUUUAAUGUUUCUUAAGGUUAAUGUAUGUCAUUUUUAACUACAGCCCUGUUACUUGUCCCAGUUGUUAAGGUGUAUGGAGGGGAUUAAAAGUGCAAAUGAUGGGAUAAUAUAACUUUUUCGUUUUAACUAUUCGUGACGAAAAUUCAACUCUUCA